GAAAGGUUAGUCUAAUAAAGACAGUUAAUUUCGACUUAACUAAUUAUGGUUUAACCCCAUAACCAUUCU
rnacentral:tRNA from 1 species